rnacentral:ribozyme from 1 species
AGCAAUACCUCGCAUAUACGGGGGUGGAUCCGAAAUCUCUAGAAGGUUAACAUAUGCUCUCCAUCCCCUAUUCCUACUCAGUACGUCCCCGUCGUACAGAAUGGUAACUUCGGCAGAUCCUCUAGAAACGCCGAGAGCGCAAGAUCCCGAAAGUGUCAUUCGAAGAGC